UGUUGAUAGAGGCUGCAGAGCUACUGGGGUCCCAGCAGUGCCUCCAGGUCUUGUGGCCAGAGACCUGGCAGAUGAUUGUGUUUGCCAGAGCUGGUGGUGUAUGUUCACUUGGCUCCACGGUCUUAGCUGCAUAUGCUUAUGUAAUGGCAGAGGAUGGUUGCAACCACAUAUGCAGCCACUGCUCAUGAUUUAAGAAUGGAGGAUAUGUCUAUUUGCUAAAGAGAUGAUUUAUUUCAUAAGGUGACCAAACAACACGGAUAGUGGGAGAAGGUGAGACACACUAAAAAUAUGCUUUCCUAAGGAUUUAUAAGCAUAUGUUUCCUCUUACAUAAUACAGAAAGCCUACAGACAUGUGAUAGGAAAGUCUGACAUUUAGAAGGAUUUCCUAAUUUUUAUGUAUUUCUCUUAGAACUCAUAUAGUCAAGGUUUUGUGACUGAUUAUAUUAACAUCAUUACACUUACCACAUUUUCACUUUAC
rnacentral:lncRNA from 1 species